AGAGUUUGAUCCUGGCUCAGAAUGAACGCUGGCGGCGUGCCUAACACAUGCAAGUCGCACGAGAACGUUUCAGCUUGCUGAGACUAUUAAAGUGGCGCACGGGUGAGUAACGCGUGGGUAAUCUACCUCCGAAUUGGGGAUAACACUGCGAAAGCGGUGCUAAUACCGAAUGAUAUCCCCGAGACUCUGGUCUUGGUGAUCAAAGGUGGCCUCUACAUGUAAGCUAUUGUUUGGAGAUGAGCCCGCGUACCAUUAGCUUGUUGGUAGGGUAACGGCCUACCAAGGCUUCGAUGGUUAGCUGGUCUGAGAGGAUGAUCAGCCACACUGGAACUGACACACGGUCCAGACUCCUACGGGAGGCAGCAGUGAGGAAUUUUGCGCAAUGGGGGAAACCCUGACGCAGCAACGCCGCGUGAGUGAUGAAGGCUUUCGGGUCGUAAAGCUCUGUCAAGUGGGAAGAACCUGCUUCGUGCCAAUACCACGAGGCACUGACGGUACCACUGAAGGAAGCACCGGCUAACUCCGUGCCAGCAGCCGCGGUAAUACGGGGGGUGCUAGCGUUAUUCGGAAUCAUUGGGCGUAAAGGGCGCGUAGGCGGUCGCUUAAGUCAGAUGUGAAAGCCCUCGGCUUAACCGAGGAAGUGCAUUUGAUACUAGGCGACUUGAGUAUGGGAGAGGGAAGCGGAAUUCCUGGUGUAGCGGUGAAAUGCGUAGAUAUCAGGAGGAACACCGGUGGCGAAGGCGGCUUCCUGGACCAAUACUGACGCUGAGGCGCGAAGGCGUGGGGAGCAAACAGGAUUA
rnacentral:rRNA from 1 species